UCAGAGCAGGUCUUCUCAGUUGCACUUUGACCGUAGUGCAGUACGGAUGUUUAGAAAAUACUUGCUAGCGAUGGAAAAACAGGAUCGAUACAGGAAUAAGCUGAGUGUACAAUAAUACAAAAAUUUGUGCCUCUUUUUGCUAGAGCAGGCUUCAUACAAGUGGAAA
rnacentral:lncRNA from 1 species